GAAGAAGUGGCCGAGCGGUCGAUGGCGACAGACUGUAAAUCUGUUAGUUUUACUCACGUUGGUUCGAAUCCAACCUUUUUCA
rnacentral:tRNA from 1 species